rnacentral:rRNA from 1 species
GGCCGCGAAUUCGCCCUUAGAGUUUGAUCCUGGCUCAGGAUGAACGCUGGCGGCGUGCCUAACACAUGCAAGUCGAGCGUGAAGCUUGAAAACAAACCUUCGGGUGAGUUUUUAAGUGGAAAGCGGCGGACGGGUGAGUAACGCGUGGGCAACCUACCUCAUACUAAGGGAUAGCCACUGGAAACGGUGAUUAAUACCUUAUAAGACUACAAUAACACAUGUUAUAGUAGUAAAAGAUUUAUCGGUAUGAGAUGGGCCCGCGUCUGAUUAGCUAGUUGGUAAGGUAACGGCUUACCAAGGCUUCGAUCAGUAGCCGACCUGAGAGGGUAAUCGGCCACACUGGAACUGAGACACGGUCCAGACUCCUACGGGAGGCAGCAGUGGGGAAUAUUGCACAAUGGGCGAAAGCCUGAUGCAGCAACGCCGCGUGAGUGAUGAAGGCUUUCGAGUCGUAAAGCUCUGUCCUAAGGGAAGAAUUGAUGACGGUACCUUAGGAGGAAGCCCCGGCUAACUACGUGCCAGCAGCCGCGGUAAUACGUAGGGGGCAAGCGUUAUCCGGAAUCAUUGGGCGUAAAGGGUGCGUAGGCGGCCAAAUAAGUUAGAGGUGAAAGGCUAUGGCUUAACCAUAGUAAGCCUUUAAAACUGUUUGGAUUGAGUGCAGGAGAGGAAAGUGGAAUUCCUAGUGUAGCGGUGAAAUGCGUAGAUAUUAGGAGGAACACCAGUGGCGAAGGCGACUUUCUGGACUGUAACUGACG